GGCCUAGCUCAAUUGGUAGAGCAACUGACUUUUAAUCAGAGGGUCAGAGGUUCGAAUCCUCUAUGGCUCACCA
rnacentral:tRNA from 1 species